UACGUAGGGGGCAAGCGUUGUCCGGAAUCAUUGGGCGUAAAGAGCGUGUAGGCGGCCAGAUAAGUCCGCUGUGAAAACUCGAGGCUCAACUUCGAGCUGUCGGCGGAAACUAUCUGGCUAGAGUCCGGAAGAGGAGAGUGGAAUUCCUGGUGUAGCGGUGAAAUGCGCAGAUAUCAGGAGGAACACCAAUUGCGAAGGCAGCUCGCUGGGACGUUACUGACGCUGAGACGCGAAAGCGUGGGGAGCAAACAGG
rnacentral:rRNA from 1 species